rnacentral:rRNA from 1 species
GUGCCAGCAGCCGCGGUAAGACGAACCGUGCGAACGUUGUUCGGAAUCACUGGGCUUAAAGGGCGCGUAGGCGGGCCUUCAAGUCCGGGGUGAAAUCCUCCAGCCUAACUGGAGAAGAGCCUCGGAGACUGAGGGCCUCGAGGAGGGUAGGGGCGUGCGGAACUCUGGGUGGAGCGGUGAAAUGCAUUGAUAUCCAGAGGAACUCCGGUGGCGAAGGCGGCACGCUGGACCCUUUCUGACGCUGAGGCGCGAAAGCCAGGGGAGCAAACGGGAUUAGAUACCCCGGUAGUCC